rnacentral:tRNA from 1 species
UCCCUCGUAGCUUAGUCAGUAAAGAAUCUGCCUGCAAUGCAGGAGACCUGGGUUUGAUUCCUGGGUUGGGAA